AAAGUUUCUAGUACAACCGAUUCCCAAACAAUCAAAUCUAAAAACAUCCAAGGCCAAAGCAGGUAGACAAUAAUCCCAAAAAUAUGGAUGUUGUGCUUGAGCACCAAAUGAAACAAAUAAAAUGAAAGAAAUAACUCUCAAUUUAUUAACUGAUUGAGAUAACAAAUGUACAAAGAAUAAUCUCACAAAUUGGCUCACUCAAAUUAUUUCUACGUGAGCUCCUUUUAUUACAAAACAAAUGGUUUGCAUUCUAAUAUGUAAAGCCAUAAACAAGUUUGUGAUUGAGAGAAAAAUAAGGAUAACCAAUACAAAGUAAUUGACCAAGAUUUAUAUCGAGUCACAUGUCAACAAUCUCCACCUCGGCGAGAUUCGUAAUCACGAACAUAUUCAGGCACAUAGUAUAUGAGCUAUGUUCAAACAAUGCUCAAACUUGGUAGGUCCGAGCGGUUUAGUUAACAUAUCAGCUGGAUUAUUUGCAGUUGGAACUUUCUGAAGAAUAAUCUUUCUUUUGGACAAAAUCUCACGAAUAAAAUGAAACCGAACAUCGAUAUGCUUUGUCCUCGAAUGAUAAACUUGGUAUUUAGACAAGUGAAUAGCACUUUGACUAUCACAAUGUAGCUCCACUUGCUUUUGAUAAAUUCCUAGAUUCUUUGUUAGUCCAUGUAUCCAAAUGACCUCCUUUACAGCUUCUGCAAUAGCCAUAUAUUCGGCCUCCGUUGUUGACAAAGAGAUUGUGGAUUGUAGUGUGGACCUCCAACAACUGGCCAUUUGGCCAUGGUAAAUAAGUAGCCAGUAGUCAAUCUUCUUUUAUCCAAAUCUCCAGCAUAGUCAGAAUCAACAUAUCCAACCACAAAAUUCUCAAAACUACUAUCACUUUGCUGAAAACAUAAGCUGACAUCUCUAAUCCCAUGUAGGUAUCUUAGAAUCCACUUAGCUGCUUGCCAAUGUUUUUUUCCUAGAUUGUGCAUAUAGCGACUAACCAAACCAACGACAUGAGCAAUAUCUGGUCGAGAAUAUACCAUAAUAUACAUCAAGCCACCAACCAAAUUAGAAUAUGGAAUAUUCUUCAUCUGCAGCUUCUCUUCAUUGUUUUUUUGGAGAUAACAAAGCACUCAACUUAAAGUGAAGAGCCAUUAGAGUACUUACAUGUCUGGUGGCAUCAUUAAUACCAAAACAUUGAAGCAAUUUACACAAAUAUUGCUUUUGUGUAAGAUACACCAAGCAUUUUUCUCGGUUACGAAUAAUUUCCAUACCGAGUACCUUUUUCGCUUCACCAAGAUCUUUCAUCUCAAACUUGUUCUUCAUCUGUGCUUUCAACUUUUCAAUCUCCUUAACAUUCUUUGAUGCAAUUAACAUAUCAUCAACAUACAAUAAUAAAUAAAUGAAGGAUCCAUCUUGCAACUUUUUGAAAUAAACACAAUGAUCAUAUUGACUUCUUAAAUAGUGUUGACCUUUCAUGAAUUCAUCAAACUUCAAAUACCACUGUCUUGGAGAUUGCUUCAAUUCAUACAAAGACUUAUUCAGUUUACAAACACAUUUCUCUUUUCCAGUUACCUGAUACCGAUCAGGCUGAGACAUGUAAAUUUCUUCAUCAAGAUCUUCUUGUAAGAAAGUCGUCUUAGCAUCAAGUUGCACUAGUUCAAGAUCAAAUUGUGCAACAAAGGCUAACAUAAUACGAAUAGAUGAAUGCUUCACAACAGGAGAAAAUACUUCAUUAUAAUCAAUACCUUCAUUUUGUGCAUAUCCUUUUGCUACCACUCGUGCUUUGAAUCUUACAUUGUCUUCUCCUGGACGACUUUCCUUUUUAGUAUACACCCACUUGCAGCCAAUAACUCUCUUACUGGGAGGCAAUUGAACUAACUCCCAAGUGUUGUUCUUCACAAGAGAAUUCAUUUCUUCAUCCAUAGCCUUACCCCAUUCUGUAUUUUUAAAGCGGUUCAUAGCUUCCUUAUAACUUUCUGGGAUUUCUGCAUUAAUAAUAGGAAGAGCAUAAGCAACAUAAUCACUAUAUCUUACUGGUCUCUUUGUGUUUCUCUUGCCUUUGCUUGUAGCAAUGCACUCUAUAACUGGAGGCUAUUGGGUAUAAGCCUCUUCUUCAUCAUGGGAAGAGACAUCUUUAUCUUCUUGACCUUCAUUUACUUUUUGUUCAAUCAAAACAGGCAGUGGAGUAGGUAGCAAUCUUUUCAAACACUUGUCUUUGAGUUGCUUUGUAACAUAGAAGUUUCGUCAAAAGUCACAUCUCUGCUGAUUACAAGUUUCUUCAAAUCUGGACACCACAAAUGGUAACCUUUGACGCCGCUGUUAAAGCCCACAAAAUAGCCUUCUUGGCUCUUGGAUCAAGCUUACUUUGAGUCACAUGGAAAUAAACGAACAACCAAAAAUAUGAAGAAAAUCAUAAUCAGAAGCUCGUUUUCCAGUCCACUUCUCAAUAGGUGUUUUAAAUUCAAUUGCAAACGAAGGUAAACGAUUGAUAAUGUGACAAGCAUAUGUAAUUGUCUUUGCCCAAAAUGCCUUACUUAAACCAGAUUGAGCCAACAUGCAUCUAACUUUUUUGAGUAACGUUCUGUUUAACCUUUCAGCAACUCCAUUUUGUUGGGGAGUACCAAGAACAGUGAAAUGCCUUAUUAUACCUUCUUCUCUACAAACUUUGAAAAAUGAAUCAGAGGUGUAUUCACCACCAUUAUCUAACCUCAAAAAUUUAAUUUUCUUACCAGUUUGGUUUUCAACCAUUUUCUUCUAGUUUAAGAAAAUAUUUAACACCUCAUCUUUGUGUUCCAUUGUAUAAACCCAAGCUCUUCUAGAGUAGUCAUCAACAAAAGUUACAAACCAGUGCUUACCACUCAAUGAUGUAGUCUUGGUGGGACCCCAAACAUCUGAAUGCACAUAAUCUAUGAUUCCUUUAGUUUGAUGCACAACAAUACCAAAUUUAACUCUGGUUUGCUUACCCAAGACAAAAUGCUCGCAAAAGUCGAGCUUGCAAGUUUUGGCUCCUUUCAGCAGUCCUUGUUUCAGAAGGGCUUGAAGAGCUUUUUCACCAGUAUGUCCAAGUUUCAUAUGCCAUAACUUGGUGUUGUCAGUAUCUGGUUUUUCAGAAAUUAUGGCUGCACCACCUAAAAAUGUUUUCCCCUGCAGGAAAUAUAUAUUCUGCUUUCGGAUUCCCUUCAUCGUAACCAAAGCACCUUUAGAAACUUUUAGAAUACUAUCUGACAUAUUUACAUUAAACCCAUUGCUUUCCAAGGCAUCCAAAGAAAUUAAAAUUUUCUUCAAAGCAAGAACAUACCACACAUUGGACAACUCUCUAACGAUGCCAUCAUGGUAUUUCAACUUAAUUGUUCAUACUCUAUUUUUAUCACAUGCAUAAUCAUUACCCAAUAAAACAGUUCCCGCCUUUACAACUUCUAGAUUAGUAAACCAAUUUCGAUUUGGACACAUAUGAUGAGAACAACAAGAAUCCAAAAUCCAUACAUCAGAAUCACAAGCAGAAGAAUAGCCAAAGCAUAAUCAGAUUCAUCGCCACUAAGUGCAACGUUAGCAUUGGUGUUUCUAUUAUUCUUCUGCAGCUUAGGGCAAUCAUUUAUCCAAUGUCCCUUUGUAUGACAAAAUGCACAUUCAUCCUUGUCUAAUAUUUUUCUAUUUUGUGAGUUACCUCGUGGUCGAGAUUGAGAUCUUCUUCUGUUAUUAAAUCUCCGUCUUUCAUUCAUUCUGUCUCCAACAAACAAAGCAUUUGAUGCUGUAUUCUGGACUUGCUUAUCUAUGGAUUCACGCAAACAAACAAAAAACAUAAUUAAUUGAAACCCUUUUAAAUGAAUAAUAUAUAUAUAUAUAUAUAGAAUCGGGGGGACAUCGAACACACAAUUUGACACUUUUUUUUUUUGAUAGGAAAAAAAAAGAUUUCAUUAAACAGAAAUGUUUCUAGUACAACCGAUUCCCAAACAAUCAAAUCUAGAAACAUACAAGGCCGAAGCAGGUAGACAAUAAUCUCAAAAAUAUAGAUGUUGUGCUUGAGCACCAAAUGAAACAAAUAAAAUGAAAGAAAUAACUCUCAAUUUAUUAACUGAUUGAGAUAACAAAUGUACAAAGAAUAAUCUCACAAAUUGGCUCACUCAAAUUAUUUCUAUGUGAGCUCCUUUUAUUACAAAACAAAUGGUUUGCCUUCUAAUACGUAAUGUCAUAAACAAGUUUGUGAUUGAGAGAAAAACAAGGAUAACCAAUACAAAGUAAUUGACCAAGAUUUAUAUCGAGCCACAUGUCAACAAUCUCCACCUUGGCGAGAUUCGUAAUCACAAACAUAUUCAGGCACAUAGUAUAUGAGCUAUGUUCAAACAAUGCUCAAACUUGGUAGGUCCGAGCACAUUAGUUAACAUAUCAGCUGGGUUGUCUACAGUUGGAACUUUAGUUAACAUAUCAGCUGGGCUGUCUGCAGUUGGAACUUUCUGAAGAAUAAUCUUUCUUUUGGACAAAAUCUCACGAAUAAAAUGAAACCGAACAUCGAUAUGCUUUGUCCUCGAAUGAUAAACUUGGUAUUUAGACAAGUGAAUAGCACUUUGACUAUCACAUUGUAGCUCCACUUGCUUUUGAUAAAUUCCUAGAUUCUUUAUCAGUCCAUGUAUCCAAAUGGCUUCCUUUACAGUUUCUGCAAUAGCCAUAUAUUCGGCCUCCGUUGUUGACAAAGUGACUGUGGAUUGUAGUGUAGACCUCCAACAACUGGCCCUUUGGCCAUGGUAAAUAAGUAGCCAGUAGUCAAUCUUCUUUUAUCCAAAUCUCCAGCAUAGUCAGAAUCAACAUAUCCAACCACAAAAUUCUCAAAACUACUAUCACUUUGCUGAAAACAUAAGCUGACAUCUCUAGUCCCAUGUAGGUAUCUUAGAAUCCACUUAGCUGUUUGUCAAUGUUCUUUUCCUAGAUUGUGCAUAUAGCAAACCAACGAUAUGAGCAUAUCUGGUCGAGACAUACCAUAGUAUACAUCAAGCCACCAACCAAAUUAGAAUAUGGAAUAUUCUUCAUCUACAACUUCUCUUCAUUGUUUUUUGGAGAUAACAAAGCACUCAACUUAAAGUGAAGAGCCAUUGGAGUACUUAUAGGUUUGGCGGCAUCAUUAAUACCAAAACAUUGAAGCAAUUUACACAAAUAUUGCUUUUGUGUAAGAUACACCAAGCAUUUUUCUCGGUUACGAGUAAUUUCCAUA
rnacentral:lncRNA from 1 species